GUGCUAACUUCGGCAGCACAUAUACUAAAAUUGGAAUGGUAAGAGAAAAUUAUCAUGGCCCCUGUGCAAGGCUGACAUGAAAAGGUGUAAAGCAUUCCAUUUUUUA
rnacentral:snRNA from 1 species